CAUGCUGUAAACGUUGGGCACUAGGUGUGGGGAUCGUUGUGGUUUCUGCGCCGUAGCUAACGCAUUAAGUGUCCCGCCUGGGGAGUACGGCCGCAAGGCUAAAACUCAAAGGAAUUGACGGGGGCCCGCACAAGCAGUGGAGUAUGUGGUUUAAUUCGAAGCAACGCGAAGAACCUUACCAGGGCUUGACAUCCUCGGACGACACUAGAGAUAGUGUUUUCUCUUCGGAGACUGAGAGACAGGUGG
rnacentral:rRNA from 1 species